GACAAUCCCAAUAGCUGUGGGGAGAUGGGAGGCCUUUAGCAUAGCCAUAAUUUGGUUUGCAUUAGUUACUGAUCCUCCUUUUGUGCCCCCAUGAUAUACCAUCUGCACCCGAUGAGCAGAUCCUUCACGGGAGCAACAGUGGUCGAUGCAUAAGGAAGUCAUGAGUCCUCCAGUCCUUGCCUUUACUCUGCGAACAGAAACAAAUCACGGAUUUCACAGAACUGUAGGCUCCCUUCUGGAAAACUGAGCUAACACUGCAGAUCAUAAAGAUCUCCCGAACCUUCUGCCUCACUCCUCCUGUUAUACCUGCCCUCAACUCCAGCACACUUUCUGGGAACUCACCACCCAAAGCCUAAUUGAGAAGCAAGAAGGCCAGCAAAGCAGGUCCAGGGUCCCACAAUCACAGCUCUAAAAGAUUCUCUGUGUGAAGUGUUUGAAGAAGUGGUGGACGUGACACUGAUCUUGGAGCCGCAUUCCCUGACUCUGUUAAGAUGGGCAAUGAAGAUAACCUCCGGUAAAGGAAGUACUAUGCAAGUCUGUUGCUA